GUUCCUGGUUGUUAACAAUAUUGUACAGCAUUGUUCUGCCGAACAAUGCUGAACGAUAUUGUUAACAACCAGGAACAA
rnacentral:miRNA from 1 species